rnacentral:rRNA from 1 species
UACGAAGGGGGCUAGCGUUGCUCGGAAUCACUGGGCGUAAAGCGCACGUAGGCGGAUUGCUAAGUCAGGGGUGAAAUCCUGGAGCUCAACUCCAGAACUGCCUUUGAUACUGGCGAUCUUGAGUCCGGGAGAGGUGAGUGGAACUGCGAGUGUAGAGGUGAAAUUCGUAGAUAUUCGCAAGAACACCAGUGGCGAAGGCGGCUCACUGGCCCGGUACUGACGCUGAGGUGCGAAAGCGAUGGGGAGCAA